rnacentral:rRNA from 1 species
CCUACGGGAGGCUGCAGUGAGGAAUAUUGGUCAAUGGCCGAAAGGCUGAACCAGCCAAGUAGCGUGAAGGAUGACUGCCCUAUGGGUUGUAAACUUCUUUUAUCUGGGAAUAAAGUUUUCCACGUGUGGAUUUUUGUAUGUACCGUAUGAAUAAGGAUCGGCUAACUCCGUGCCAGCAGCCGCGGUAAUACGGAGGAUCCGAGCGUUAUCCGGAUUUAUUGGGUGUAAAGGGAGCGUAGGUGGAUUGUUAAGUAAGUUGUGAAAGUUUGCGGCUCAACCGUAAAAUUGCAGUUGAAACUGGCAGUCUUGAGUACAGUAGAGGUGGGCGGAAUUCGUGGUGUAGCGGUGAAAUGCUUAGAUAUCACGAAGAACUCCGAUUGCGAAGGCAGCCUACUGGACUGCAACUGACACUGAGGCUCGAAAGUGUGGGUAUCAAACAGGAUUAGAUACCCUUGUAGUC